rnacentral:rRNA from 1 species
UACAGAGGUGGCAAGCGUUGUUCGGAAUUACUGGGCGUAAAGGGCGCGUAGGCGGCCAUCUAAGUCAGACGUGAAAUCCCCCGGCUUAACCUGGGAACUGCGUCUGAUACUGGACGGCUCGAGUGCGGGAGAGGGAUGUGGAAUUCCAGGUGUAGCGGUGAAAUGCGUAGAUAUCUGGAGGAACACCGGUGGCGAAGGCGGCAUCCUGGACCGACACUGACGCUGAGGCGCGAAAGCUAGGGUAGCAAACGGG